ACACGACUACAUUAGAUACCCGGGUAGUCCUAGGCGUAAAUGAUGCGAGUUAAGUGUGGGGGCAUCUACGAGAUGGCCCUGUGCUGUAGGGUAGCCGUUAAACUCGCUGCCUGGGAGUACGGUCGCAAGGCUGAAACUUAAAGGAAUUGGCGGGGAGCACCACAACAGGUGGAGCCUGCGGUUUAAUUGGAUUCAACGCCGGACAUCUCACCGGAUAAGACAGCUGAAUGAUUGUCAAUCUGAAGGUUUUACAUGACUAGCUG
rnacentral:rRNA from 1 species